CGAAAGCCUGACGGAGCAAUACCGCGUGCGGGAGGAAGGCCCUUGGGUCGUAAACCGCUUUUCUUAGGGAAGAAACCUGACGGUACCUAAGGAAUCAGCCUCGGCUAACUCCGUGCCAGCAGCCGCGGUAAUACGGAGGAGGCAAGCGUUAUCCGGAAUGAUUGGGCGUAAAGCGUCCGCAGGUGGCAAUGUAAGUCUGCUGUCAAAACCCAGGGCUCAACUCUGGUCAGGCAGUGGAAACUACAUAGCUAGAGUUCGGUAGGGGCAAAGGGAAUUCCCGGUGUAGCGGUGAAAUGCGUAGAGAUCGGGAAGAACAUCGGUGGCGAAAGCGCUUUGCUAGACCGAAACUGACACUCAGGGACGAAAGCUAGGGGAGCG
rnacentral:rRNA from 1 species